GAUCCAAUUUUUAAUACAAGCUGGAAAUCAUAGAAUUGACGGGUUUUGAUCGAUAUUAAUAUAAGAUGGUAUACUAUAGGUGAAACUCUAAAAUUAACAAUCAAAAUACAAGUGUAUAAUCUUAAACACUAAAUAAUAUAAAUAAUAUCAACAAAACAUAUACAACUCGCAGUGUACUAUACAUUAAAAAUCAAAUAAAAUAAUAUCAUAUAUUUAUAAAUCAUCUUUACAAAAAA
rnacentral:sRNA from 1 species